CAAGAUAGAGGAGAGAGAAGGAAGUUAGAGAGAGAAAGAGGACGAAACCAAAAAGGAAAUCGAGGAUAUUUUCCUAUUUAUAUGGUAAGCCUCCUUUUCCUGAUUUUGUUUGUUCACUAAAAAUUUCUAAGGACUCAUUAUUAGACUUUUUUUUCUUUACACUUUCAAAAAUCUCUUAUAAAACCUAUGGUUGUCAAACGACCUUUUUAUCUCCUUCAAAAAUAUGUAAAUUGUUACAUCCCCAAUACUAAUUAUAGUAUAAGGUUACCAGAUAUCAAUACAGAAUACGAGUGCAUUUAAAUUGAAUAUAUGCAAUGGAAAUUUUUGCAUUACAAAAUCCCUUAUAAAAUAAAAUUAACUUUCUUUUCUUUAAAAAUCACGCCACAAUCAUGCAAUAAAAUCAAUGUUCAUUUCUUUAUUUUUUAAAAACACAUCUUUGUAAGGGAUGUGCAAAAAAAUACUGAAUCAUUUACUGUUACUGAUGACUCUUUGUAAGCUAGUCCACCUUCUCUUCAACUUGUCCUCCUUUCUCUCUUUAACUUUCUCUCUCCAAAAUUUUGGUCUUUGAGGGUAAAAUAGGUGAGGAAAAGUGGGGAAGGAGGUCCCUAUUUAUAAAGGAAGAGAACCGUCAGAUUGAUGAUAAGUGUCGCGAAUCUAUGAGGAGAGAGAAAAUAAUGGCGUCAUUAUGACAUUAUCAAUGUCAGUCGGUCAAGGGGGCAUGACUCCCAAGGCAAAAACGUGGGGCUUGAGGCGGCGGUGGUAGGGCAGUGGCAUGGGGCUCGAUGGGUCGCACGCGGUCUAAGUCUGCCACGCGCGACAAACUAGGCCUGGCGCGCGCAUAGCUAACCAGUGCGCCCAAACGGUGCGCAGACUAGCGCGUAAGGCUGGCUUGCGCGGAGUUGCACUUCUGACGUAAUAAGACUGCGCGCGCACAGAGCUGCACACCUGACAUGAGUGUCUACGUCUGAGAUUUAUAUGCAAAUGGUGCACAGUAUGACGCCCAAGCUUAUGGGACGUGCGCCUCUACAUACACGCCCAAACAACCUUGCACAUGUCCACGCGAGCACAAGGUUUGCAAGGCAUUCUCACGCGGGCUAGGGAUUUUUAUCACGGCAAUUGAUUUUUUCCAAUUUUCCUCUUCUUUUCUCUUUUAAU
rnacentral:lncRNA from 1 species